AUUGAACGCUGGCGGCAUGCCUAACACAUGCAAGUCGAGCGGAUGAAGGGAGCUUUCGCCUGGAUUCCGCUGCGGACGGGCGAGUAAUGCCUACGAAUCUGCCUGGCCGAGGGGGAUAACGUCCGGAAACGGGCGCUAAUCUCGCAUACGUCCAGAUGUAGAAAGUGGGGGAUCUUCGGACCACACGCUAUCUGAUGAGCCUGGGCCGCAUUAGCUAGUUGGUAAGGUAAAGGCUUACCAAGGCGACGAUCCGUAGCUGACCUGAGAGGGUGAUCGGCCACACUGGAACUGAGACACGGUCCAGACGCCUACGGGAGGCAGCAGUAGGGAAUCUUCCGCAAUGGGCGAAAGCCUGACGGAGCAACGCCGCGUGAGUGAUGAAGGUCUUCGGAUCGUAAAACUCUGUUAUUAGGGAAGAACAAAUGUGUAAGUAACUAUGCACGUCUUGACGGUACCUAAUCAGAAAGCCACGGCUAACUACGUG
rnacentral:rRNA from 1 species